UUUAACCCAAAACUUCAUUUAAAACACGCCAUACGAAGCCUUACCUGUUCAAAUUAUUUUUUUGAAUAUAUUCUAAGUGGCAUUUAAUUACCGUUGCGUUUCAUAAAUAUGUCUAUAUCGCUGUGUGUGUUUUUUUUUUUUUUUUUUUAGAGUGUUGCAGGGCUGUGGUUGGGACUACUCAAUCAAGCAAACUGACUGGUGAAUUCGUGAUGGUCCUGUUGAGUGAAGCGUUGCAGCAGCAAGUCCUGACAUAAUCCAAAACUUCAAAACUCCACACUCCACAGGUGUUUGGCCGGUCGCAGAGUGCCCAUUAGUUGUCGGGGAAGGAUUGGUUCCAUUUUCUGGUGGAGAUUCUCCGUUGGCAGCAGCGGGCUUGUCAACAGGCUCCUGGGGCAGGGGGGCGACGGACACCAAGGUGUUGGCCUGGUUCUCCUCAUCCACCUGAUUAAAAUGCAAAGGAAUCAAGUAUGUCAAGGCUCAGGGGGUUAAGGGCCAAACAGGACAAAGAAAGACCCAAGUGCAAGAAAACGAAGGCGGGGCAGAUGGACAUUGGUGUGAAAAGGCCUAAAAGGAAAAGUACUGACCAUAUCUACUGAUACUCCUUGGAAAGCUGGCCGAGCAGGGAAUGUUGAAUGACGACAUCUGCUUGGGCACCAAAGCCACCACGCACCGGUCUGUCACCUGUAAGAUCAAAGUGGAGCAGCGUGUUGAGUCUCUUCCAGUCACCCUCGAUCUUGGUGGUUAUGUCUUCAUCCUGAAGGACCACGCGAGCCGUCCUGCCUUGACGCCACUCUACGUUGUGAAGAGAAAACCAAUUGUUUCAUGCCUGAUGGAGGUGUUAACAAGGGUCUCACGUCCAUGUACUGUAGCAUCAUAUCAGUCACUAGAAUU